UACGUAGGGUGCGAGCGUUAAUCGGAAUUACUGGGCGUAAAGCGUGCGCAGGCGGUUUUGUAAGCCAGAUGUGAAAUCCCCGGGCUCAACCUGGGAAUGGCAUUUGGGACUGCAAGGCUGGAGUGCGGCAGAGGAGACUGGAAUUCCUGGUGUAGCAGUGAAAUGCGUAGAUAUCAGGAGGAAUACCAAUUGCGAAGGCAGCUCGCUGGGACGUUACUGACGCUGAGACGCGAAAGCGUGGGGAGCAAACAGG
rnacentral:rRNA from 1 species